ACAGGGAGGUUUUGGAGCACAUGGUGACAAAGGACAGCAAGGGGAGAGAGGUACCAUCGGCCCUGAUGGCAUUGUUGGACGAAAUGGACCCCCCGGCAUCCCAGGCUCCAGAGGAGAGCCAGGUCCAGGCGGUGACCUGGGCGUCAAAGGUGGCUCUGGACCUAAAGGAGUGCCAGGUGCCCCUGGCCCUGGGCUGACAGAUGAGCAGGUAUUGCAGCUGUGUAAAGGAGUGGUGACAGCCCAGAUCUCCCAGUAUGCAGCUUCCAUCCGGGCCAAGUGUUCCCAAGGCUGCCCCAUCAACAACCGCACACUCAUUGGGCCGCCCGGAACCAGGGGACCAACUGGAGAAUCAGGCAAACCCGGUAAAGCGGGCAAAGCUGGAGUCAAAGGAGCCAGGGGCAUCCAAGGGGACACAGGAGUGG